rnacentral:rRNA from 1 species
AUACGAAGGGGGCUAGCGUUGUUCGGAAUUACUGGGCGUAAAGCGCGCGUAGGCGGAUUGGUCAGUUAGGGGUGAAAUCCCAGGGCUUAACCCUGGAACUGCCUCUAAUACUGCCAGUCUUGAGUUCGGGAGAGGUGAGUGGAAUUCCUAGUGUAGAGGUGAAAUUCGUAGAUAUUAGGAAGAACACCAGUGGCGAAGGCGGCUCACUGGCCCGAUACUGACGCUGAGGCGCGAAAGCGUGGGGAGCAAACAGGAUUAGAAACCCCUGUAGUCC